rnacentral:rRNA from 1 species
GACGAACGCUGGCGGCGUGCUUAACACAUGCAAGUCGAACGGAAAGGCCCUGCUUGUGUGUGGUUCUCGAGUGGCGAACGGGUGAGUAACACGUGAGUAACCUUGCCUGGACUUGGUGAUAACUUCAGGAAGCUGGUGCUACUACCUGAUAGGAGCUCCUGCUGCAGGGUGGGGUUUGGAAAGUUUAGGCUGUGGUGGAUGGACGGCGGGCUUAUCAGCUUGUGGGGUGGGUAGUUGCUUACCACGGCUUUGGUGGGUAGCCGGCCUGAGAGGGUGGACGGCGACCUUGGGACUGAGAUACGGAGCAGACUCCUACGGGAGGCAGCAGUGGGGAAUAUUGCACAAUGGGCGGAAGCCUGAUGAAGAAACGCCGCGAGCGGGAUGACGGCUUUCGGGUUGUAAACCGCUUUAGCCUGUGACGAAGCGUGAGUGACGUUACUGGGUAAAGAAGCACCGGCUAACUACGUG